AUUGAACGCUGGCGGCAGGCCUAACACAUGCAAGUCGAGCGGAUGAAGGGAGCUUGCUCCUGGAUUCAGCGGCGGACGGGUGAGUAAUGCCUAGGAAUCUGCCUGGUAGUGGGGGAUAACGUCCGGAAACGGGCGCUAAUACCGCAUACGUCCUGAGGGAGAAAGUGGGGGAUCUUCGGACCUCACGCUAUCAGAUGAGCCUAGGUCGGAUUAGCUAGUUGGUGGGGUAAAGGCCUACCAAGGCGACGAUCCGUAACUGGUCUGAGAGGAGGAUCAGUCACACUGGAACUGGGACACGGUCCAGACUCCUACGGGAGGCAGCAGUGGGGAAUAUUGGACAAUGGGCGAAAGCCUGAUCCAGCCAUGCCGCGUGUGUGAAGAAGGUCUUCGGAUUUUAAAGCACUUUAAGUUGGGAGGAAGGGCAGUAAGUUAAUACCUUGCUGUUUUGACGUUACCAACAGAAUAAGCACCGGCUAACUUCGUG
rnacentral:rRNA from 1 species